UCCGUCUCCGCGCGCAACCGUCGAGCCGACGCGGGGGACGGGCAAGGCGGCGUCUGGUGGUAUGGAUGCGCCACCGUGUCGGCGACUUCGCCCUGAUCCGCGCGGGGGACGGGACUAGUUAGUCCAACCUCCGACGAGGACUAUGCGGCCGCGAGGAGGGUACAGGCUGUCAUGGGAUUCAAGAGUAUAAGUGGGAUACAAAAGUUUGCUUUAUGAUAAGGCAGUGGUGGGUAAAGGUUGAGUAAGAGGCUUCUUCAAGUGUCAACUACAAGACUUCACUGACGAACUGGCAAGCUCCUCCCAGAUCACUGUUCUUGAAAGAAACUAAGUACACAUACCCACAUGCACUAGUUUGUUGGAAUAGCAAAAGGUUUCAGGUCUCCAUUAUUGCCUAUCUGGCUGUUCAUGAUAUCACAUAACAAUGUUUUAGAUGCUAUGCUAAUGAUUGCGUGGGUACCCAGUAACAUAGUCCAUAACUCCUGCGAUCUUUCUUUUUUGAAAAGAUGGUAAUCGUCCUAGAAAUCUAUAGCAAGCUGUAUUAAAGAAAGACAUGUUUAAGCAGAUAAUGUUUACAUUUUAAACAGCCCUGCAGCAUCUUGUGUUGAAUAAACUUACUCUCAAUUCAUUUUGUUUCUAUAAUACAGUCCAUUUAGCCUUCUUUGCUCAAGUGGCAUCAGGCUUGACAGUCAAGAAGCUCUUACUUUAUCUUCUCCAUUUGUGAAGGGAAAAAGGUGUGGGAAAAGGUGGUAACUAAACUAAUGUCAGAUAACUUCGUCUCAGCUGCUCUUCUCAUACUUUAGUUUGUUAUUUGAUUGAUUUGUUCAUUGGAAGCCAUAAAAAUCUCAUUACCAGUUAGUUUCUCAGUUUCCUAGAUAAUGAUCAUCUGUUCUUUCAGACUGGACUGUGACCAGUUACUCAAGUUCUUCAGGUUCUCUCCUGAAAUCUCUUCACCUUUACUUGCCAUUUCUUAAUGUUAUGGUCCCAGUUACAUUUCCAUUUUUUGCAGGAGAUGGUCCCAAUUGGAGCAUCUCCAAGAGCCUUUCUAAAAUCUACUCUCUAAAUCAUCAUUUAGAGAGUCAUUUGAGUAAAAGUUAUUUUCUAUAUCUUUGUACUUUCCAACAACUUUUCUAUAUCUUGUGCGUAGUCUAGAGAGUCAUUCUCGCUCUCCAUCUUUGGCUAGCGAGAAAUCUGGAAUAGAAGAUGUCUGUAUUUAGAUAUCCAAUUGAAGAGGAUGUUGGGGGUAUUUUUUCACCAAAAUCUCUAUUCCUGUAAACUAGGAAAGAGUCUCUUGGAGAUGCUCUUACAUGGUUCCGUUAGACACACUGAAGCCAUCCAGAUAUGCUAUUAAAUACUGCUAUUUCUAGCUUUAAAUUGUACCAUACCUGUUAAAUCUUCAGGUAGGCAGAGCAUGUUAUCAAAGGAUCCUGUUACAGACAACUCACAUUUGAGAUAUUUCUGUAAGGUGGUUUACAAAGAUGCCGCUGUCUGUAACAUUGAUGAUAGUGAGCCAAGGUGUCGGGCACAUUUGAUACUAGCGUUCAAGCUGACGUAUGUUAGAUGUCAUCAUUAUACAGCAGCCACCAGGAGCUCCACUUUGGCAGUCAGCUUUCUUCCACUCCUGAAACAGUUAGUCUGCAGGCCAUGCGCGUUGCGUUCUGCCUGCUGGAGUCCUCAUCCAAUCAGUGAAUGCACUAAACCCACAAGCGAUGGAAUCUGCGAAGCAAGGUCAUGCACAUCUUGUUGGAUGAAGUUACUACAGCCUUCAAGCUAUGGAAUCUGUGAGUGGAUCUCUUGGACGAUGACGAUGCACCUAACUUGUUACUAUCUCGGUCUAUGUUGAUUGCUGCUGGCCUGAACUGUCCACCGUCCCAGUCCGGCAGUCCCCUCCAAUUACAACUGCUUUGCACUCUGCUCGCCCACUGACGAGCAACACACUGGUACAAUUGCAGUAGGUGGGGUGGUCGCAGCUUCUGCUGCUGGGGCGCCGUGCCGUGCCGUUGCUUCGACGGCGUUCCUCUAAUCACUCAUCACACUCGCUCAAUCAAUCCCAAUGAAAAAGAAUUCUUCAUAUUACCCCACUCCUCUCCUACGCGGAAACAAAAGCUCCUCCCCGUUGCUUUCUCGGGGAACCGCGAGACCCGUCGUGGCUGGCUGUGGCAAUUCGCCCCCCCCCCCCCCCCCCCCCCCCC